rnacentral:rRNA from 1 species
AUUUAACGCUGCGGCAGGCUUAACACAUGCAAGUCGAGCGAGCGGCGGACGGGUGAGUAAUGCUUAGGGAUCUGCCUAUUAGUGGGGGACAACAUCUCGAAAGGGAUACUAAUACCGCAUACUAAUAGAUGAGCAUAAGUCGGAUUAGCUAGUUGGUUGGGGAAAGGCCUACAAAGGCGACGAUCUGGCUCGGGUCUGAGAGGAUGAUCCGCCAAACUGGGACUGAGACACGGCCCAGACUCCUCCGGUGUGCAGCAGUGGGGAAUAUUGGCAAAUGGGGGGAACCCUGAUCCAGCCAUGCCGCGUGUGUGAAGAAGGCCUUAUGGUUGUAAAGCACUUUAAGCGAGGAGGCGUUACUCGCAGAAUAAGCACCGGCUAACUCCGUGCCAGCAGCCGCGGUAAUUC